rnacentral:rRNA from 1 species
ACGAACGCUGGCGGCGCGCCUAACACAUGCAAGUCGAACGAGGAAGCAGGUACAAAGCCUUCGGGCAGCGAACCUGUUUUCCUAGUGGCGGACGGGUGAGUAACACGUGAGCAACCUGCCUUUCAGAGGGGGAUAACAGUUAGAAAUGACUGCUAAUACCGCAUAACGCAAAGAGGAGGCAUCUUCUUUUUGCCAAAGGAGCAAUCCGCUGAAAGAUGGGCUCGCGGCCGAUUAGGUAGUUGGUGAGGUAACGGCCCACCAAGCCGACGAUCGGUAGCCGGACUGAGAGGUUGAUCGGCCACAUUGGGACUGAGACACGGCCCAGACUCCUACGGGAGGCAGCAGUGGGGGAUAUUGCACAAUGGAGGGAACUCUGAUGCAGCGACGCCGCGUGAGGGAAGACGGUCUUCGGAUUGUAAACCUCUGUCUUCGGGGACGAUAAUGACGGUACCCGAGGAGGAAGCCACGGCUAACUACGUGCCAGCAGCCGCGGUAAUACGUAGGUGGCAAGCGUUGUCCGGAAUUACUGGGUGUAAAGGGAGCGUAGGCGGGGUGUCAAGUUGAAUGUGAAAUCGGCCGGCUUAACUGGUCGCUGCGUUCAAAACUGACGCUCUUGAGUGGAGCAGAGGCAGGCGGAAUUCCUAGUGUAGCGGUGAAAUGCGUAGAUAUUAGGAGGAACACCAGUGGCGAAGGCGGCCUGCUGGGCUUUAACUGACGCUGAGGCUCGAAAGCGUGGGUAGCAAACAGGAUUAGAUACCCUGGUAGUCCACGCCGUAAACGAUGAUUACUAGGUGUGGGUGGACUGACCCCAUCCGUGCCGGAGUUAACACAAUAAGUAAUCCACCUGGGGAGUACGACCGCAAGGUUGAAACUCAAAGGAAUUGACGGGGGCCCGCACAAGCAGUGGAGUAUGUGGUUUAAUUCGAAGCAACGCGAAGAACCUUACCAGGUCUUGACAUCCUACUAACGAGAUAGAGAUAUGUUAGGUGCCCUUCGGGGAAAGUAGAGACAGGUGGUGCAUGGUUGUCGUCAGCUCGUGUCGUGAGAUGUUGGGUUAAGUCCCGCAACGAGCGCAACCCUUAUGAUUAGUUGCUACGCAAGAGCACUCUAAUGAGACUGCCGUUGACAAAACGGAGGAAGGUGGGGAUGACGUCAAGUCAUCAUGCCCCUUAUGACCUGGGCUACACACGUAAUACAAUGGCGAUCAACAGAGGGGAGCAAUACAGUGAUGUGGAGCAAAUCCUCAAAAGUCGUCCCAGUUCAGAUUGCAGGCUGCAACCCGCCUGCAUGAAGGUGGAAUUGCUAGUAAUCGCGGAUCAGCAUGCCGCGGUGAAUACGUUCCCGGGCCUUGUACACACCGCCCGUCACACCAUGGGAGUCGGUAACACCCGAAGCCAGUAGCCGAACCGCAAGGAGGCGCUGUCGAAGGUGGGAUUGAUGACUGGGGUG